CUGCUUCUCAAGCCGUCUCACCUUCUUCCUGGUCGUCUAGUGUUGAAGAUGGCACAGUCCCCAUCAAUCCAGGACCCAACCUCAUUCCACUAGUGACUAGACUGCCAGUCAGCAAGAAAUAAGCAUCUGGCACUUUAAGCCACUGGGAUUUCAGGGCUGGGAAGAAAAAUCCAUCAGAGUAAGAGAUGGCAGUGGUUGGAAAAAGUAAAGACAUUCUCUACUUGUACCCUCUGUGGAGUUCAGACUUUCCAUAAAUCAGGCACUGUGUCAAUGAGGAUACCCAGGAGAUGAAUGGAAUCUACUGUCUUUCCCACGCUUGUCAAGGCAUCUCAUCUGAGCAGUUACCAACAUCAGCACAGUGGGGCUGGUCUGCCCCAUCUCCAUCUGACCCGCCCAGCUUGCCCAGUGAUGCAUCACACCGCAAUAGUGGGACAUUUUUUUUCUAACAAUGGUUCUACUCCCCUGGUGUAAAAGCAAAUAAACGGGAAUGGGGUAU
rnacentral:lncRNA from 1 species